AGUGGCGAACGGGUGAAUAACGCGUGGGAACCUACCUCGGAGUUCGGAAUAACCGCGGGAAACUGCGGCUAAUACCGGAUACGGCCUGAGGGCGAAAGGAGCAAUCCGCUCCGGGAGGGGCCCGCGUCCGAUUAGCUAGUUGGUGGGGUAACGGCCUACCAAGGCGAUGAUCGGUAGCUGGUCUGAGAGGAUGAUCAGCCACACUGGAACUGCGACACGGUCCAGACUCCUACGGGAGGCAGCAGUGGGGAAUAUUGGACAAUGGGGGAAACCCUGAUCCAGCAAUGCCGCGUGGGUGAUGAAGGCCUUCGGGUUGUAAAGCCCUUUCGGCGGGGACGAUGAUGACGGUACCCGCAGAAGAAGCCCCGGCUAACUUCGUGCCAGCAGCCGCGGUAAUACGAAGGGGGCUAGCGUUGUUCGGAAUUACUGGGCGUAAAGGGCGCGUAGGCGG
rnacentral:rRNA from 1 species